rnacentral:rRNA from 1 species
CCUACGGGUGGCAGCAGUGAGGAAUAUUGGUCAAUGGGCUUACGCCUGAACCAGCCAAGUCGCGUGAGGGAAGACUGCCCUAUGGGUUGUAAACCUCUUUUGUCAGGGAGCAAUUGGCGCUACGUGUAGCGUUCUCGAGAGUACCUGAAGAAAAAGCAUCGGCUAACCCCGUGCCAGCAGCCGCGGUAAUACGGGGGAUGCGAGCGUUAUCCGGAUUUAUUGGGUUUAAAGGGUGCGUAGGCGGAAUGCCAAGUCAGCGGUAAAAUCGCGGGGCUCAACCUCGCUCCGCUGUUGAAACUGGCGUUCUUGAGUGGGCGAGAGGUAUGCGGAAUGCGAGGUGUAGCGGUGAAAUGCAUAGAUAUCACGCAGAACUCCGAUUGCGAAGGCAGCAUACCGGCGCCCAACUGACGCUGAGGCACGAAAGCGUGGGGAUCGAACAGGAUUAGAUACCCCAGUAGUC